AUUGAACGCUGGCGGCAGGCCUAACACAUGCAAGUCGAGCGAGCGGCGGACGGGUGAGUAAUGUCUGGGAAACUGCCUGAUGGAGGGGGAUAACUACUGGAAACGGUAGCGAAUACCGCAUACCAUCAGAUGUGCCCAGAGUGGAUUAGCUAGUCGUUGGGGGAACGGCUCACCUAGGCGACGAUCCCUAGCUGGUCUGAGAGGAUGACCAGGAACACUGGAACUGAGACACAGUCCAGACUCCUACGUGAGGCAGCAGUGGGGAAUAUUGAACAAUGGGCGCAAGCCUGAUGCAGCCAUGCCGCGUGUGUGAAGAAGGCCUUCGGGUUGUAAAGCACUUUCAGAGGGGAGGCGUUAACCGCAGAAGAAGCACCGGCUAACUCCGUGCCAGCAGCCGCGGUAAUUC
rnacentral:rRNA from 1 species